GAUGAAGAACGUAGCGAAAUGCGAUAAGUAGUGUGAAUUGCAGAAUUCUGGAAUCAUCGAGUCUUUGAACGCACAUUGCGCCCCCUGGUAUUCCGGGGGGCAUGCCUGUCCGAGCGUCAUUGCUGCCCUCAAGCACGGCUUGUGUGUUGGGCCUCCGUCCUCCUCCCGGGGGACGGGCCCGAAAGGCAGCGGCGGCACCGCGUCCGGUCCUCGAGCGUAUGGGGCUUCGUCACCCGCUCUUGUAGGCCCGGCCGGCGCUUGCCGACACAUCAAUCUUUUUUCCAGGUUGACCUCGGAUCAGGUAGGGAUACCCGCUGAACUUAAGCAUAUCAAUAAGCGGAGGA
rnacentral:misc_RNA from 1 species